CAUGGCUUUGAUUUGGUGAACCCUGGUUCUCAUCUAAUUUCAGAAGCUAAGCUGGGUUCAUCCUGGUUGGUACUUGGAUGGAGACUAUCGAGGACUCUCCAAGCAUGGCUAGGA
rnacentral:rRNA from 1 species